AUUAGUUUUUUAAUUGAAGGCUAGAAUGAAUGGUUGGACAAAAAAUAAUCUGUCUUAAAUUAAUAUAUUGAAUUUAACUUUUAAGUGAAAAGGCUUAAAUAAUCUGAAGGGACGAUAAGACCCUAUAAAACUUUAUAUUUGUAAGGUAGUAGUAAAUUUUAUUUUAAUUUAUUAUUUUAAAGUAUUUGGUUGGGGUGAUAAGGAUAAAAUAUAAAAUAACUGUCUUUUUUUUUUACAGUAAUGUUUGAUUUAAUGAUCCUAAAAAGGAUUAAAGAUUAAGUUACUUUAGGGAUAACAGCGUAAUUUUCUUUAAGAGUUCUUAUCGACAAGAAAGUUUGCGACCUCGAUGUUGAAUUAAAAGUUCUUUAUAGAGUAGAGACUAUAAGAGAAGGUCUGUUCGACCUUUAAAAUUUUACAUGAUUUGAGUUCAGACCGGUGUGAG
rnacentral:rRNA from 1 species